GAUGAACGCUGGCGGCGUGCCUAAUACAUGCAAGUCGAGCGAACAGACGAGGAGCUUGCUCCUCUGACGUUAGCGGCGGACGGGUGAGUAACACGUGGAUAACCUACCUAUAAGACGGGGAUAACUUCGGGAAACCGGAGCUAAUACCGGAUAAUAUAUUGAACCGCAUGGUUCAAUAGUGAAAGACGGUUUUGCUGUCACUUAUAGAUGGAUCCGCGCCGCAUUAGCUAGUUGGUAAGGUAACGGCUUACCAAGGCAACGAUGCGUAGCCGACCUGAGAGGGUGAUCGGCCACACUGGAACUGGGACACGGUCCAGACUCCUACGGGAGGCAGCAGUAGGGAAUCUUCCGCAAUGGGCGAAAGCCUGACGGAGCAACGCCGCGUGAGUGAUGAAGGUCUUCGGAUCGUAAAACUCUGUUAUUAGGGAAGAACAAAUGUGUAAGUAACUAUGCACGUCUUGACGGUACCUAAUCAGAAAGCCACGGCUAACUACGUG
rnacentral:rRNA from 1 species